rnacentral:rRNA from 1 species
UGGGGACUAUUGCGCAUGGGGGGAAGCCUGACGCANCAUGCCGCGUGAAUGAAGAAGGCCUUAGGGUUGUAAAGUUCUUUCGGUAUUGAGGAAGGUUGAUGUGUUAAUAGCACAUCAAAUUGACGUNAAAUACAGAAGAAGCACCGGCUAACUCCGUGCCUGCAGCCGCGGUAAUACGGAGGGUGCGAGCGUUAAUCGGAAUAACUGGGCGUAANGGGCACGCAGGCGGUUAUUUAAGUGAGGUGUGAAAGCCCCGGGCUUAACCUGGGAAUUGCAUUUCAGACUGGGUAACUAGAGUACUUUAGGGAGGGGUAGAAUUCCACGUGUAGCGGUGAAAUGCGUAGAGAUGUGGAGGAAUACCGAAGGCGAAGGCAGCCCCUUGGGAAUGUACUGACGCUCAUGUGCGAAAGCGUGGGGAGCAAACAGGAUUAGAUACCCUGGUAGUCCACGCUGUAAACGCUGUCGAUUUGGGGGUUGGGGUUUAACUCUGGCGCCCGUAGCUAACGUGAUAAAUCGACCGCCUGGGGAGUACGGCCGCAAGGUUA